UGAACACUCACAUUUCACACAUAGAGUGCAAUACAUCAGCGCCAAAUUUGACUUGUCAAACUCGCAGUCAGCUACUUUUUUCCCUCCACUUUUUUUUUUCUUUUUUUUUUUUCCGGUGGGGGGAGGUAACCAUAGAAGUCCUAGUUAAUUUGGUGAAAACAUCAGGGCUACAAAGAUUCUUUAUAGGGGUUGGAUUUUUCUUCUCUACACAUUUUACUGCUGAGUGACCUCCUCGGUCAACGUAACCUAGCCGUGACCUCUGACCGGUGCAAUUCACCAUGCGUCUCCAGUCCAGCGACCAGCAGCAACUCCCCCACGAUCACUGGAAAUGUCACUGAGGUGG
rnacentral:lncRNA from 1 species